rnacentral:tmRNA from 1 species
GGGGCUGCCCUGGUUUCGACGUGGGUUCGGAAUUGGUGUGGUGCAUGUCGAGCUUGAUUGGCGCUCGUAAAUCUGCAUUCAACAAACUAACUGCAAACGACGAACGUUUCGCACUCGCCGCUUAAAUCCGGUGAGCCUUGCAACAGCACGCUGAUGGGCUGGGCAAGGGGGUCGCAAGACUUCCAGGCUGCAAGGUAAUUUACAUUAGCUGGUUCUGCAUCGGGUACCUUGGUGCAGAACAAGAUUUUAGGGUGCUGGCAUCCAGUGCAGCGUGCGACUGCGCGGCACUGGGCGUAAGACUCAAAUCAGACCGCUAAACAUGUAGAUCUGCCCAAAGAAGGCUUGCGGACGCGGGUUCAAUUCCCGCCAGCUCCACCA